GGUGGCUCAGUGGUAGAGCGCUUGCCUUGCAAGCACGAGGCCCUGGGUUCAAUUCCUCAGCACCA
rnacentral:tRNA from 1 species